CAAACCUCUCCAGGGGCCCCCCCAGCCAUUCCAUCUAUUAGAUGUAUCCCAGAGCUAGCACCCCGCGACCCUGCCCCGGAUAAGCGGAAGAAGUUGGAUGGAUGGAAAAAAGCAGAUCACCUGUUAGAAAUAGUAGCCUAAAUGCAUGAGAAUAGCAUUGUAAAAAAAAAUUUACAUAGGUUUUUGUCUUUGGAUAUUGGAAUGUGCAAUGUAUGGUUAAAAUUGGUUAACUCACUUAAAUACUGCUAUCAAGAUUGAAUUAUUUUCAAUGGUAUAAAUUACAUUGGUAGAAUGAUUUUGACACCUAAAUAUGGAAUUUUUUAACACUGAGUUAAAAAAAAAACAGGGUGCAUUUUUCCCUAUUGGGAGGGGCAUUUUGCUCUGAUAGUGGGGUAAAACGCCCCAUUUACAUAGUCUGGCAUUUGAUUAAGUUGCAAUGAAAUAGAAACACUCUGACCAAUAUUAUUUUCCACAUGUAUUUGUCUGACUCUAAUCAAUAUGUACACGUAAAAUCUGACUAAACAUUUAUUUUUUGAGUCAGAUAAUACAGUUUUCCCUUAAGGGGGACGUUUUCCCCCAAGUCAAUCGCUCGGAUUUGACCGGUAAAUACUAUUUUGUAAUUGCAUUGUUGCCUACAGCAGAGACUUUUUUUUUGGAAUAGCAAAUUUCUCCUAAAUCAAUGUCCCUCGAUUACCAAAUAGAAAGCCCCGUUGAGCCUGUAGGAGUCAGUAAACUCCUCCACUUAUUUCAGCGUGCUCCAUUUCCGUAGCUAACGGGGACAUCCAUGGUCACCAAUAAUUCAGUAUAGGGGACGAGGGUAGUGAGAUUAACGGAGUGAGAACCACAGAAAAUCGACUUUUACAUACUCACAAUAAGCCAGGGGCUCUUAAUGGAGGCACACAAGCAGGGACGCAUUAGGGAACACUAACACUAUCUCGCUGUAGUGGAACGAAUUAUUAUUUAGAAGUUCAAGGCAUUGUUUUCUUUCUCUGGACGCACAUCUGACAUAUUACAACAAAGUAACUUGUAAAGAAAUCUUCGACAGCCGUGAACGUGUACGGAUCAAAUCAGUUUCUUCACCCGAGUUCUUUGACGUUUUGUGGUUGGAGGUCAGCUUCGGCUGUCAGUCAUUUGCUGCUAUGUGUGAGGUAAGGAACUACCGAAUGGGGUCGGUUUUGUCCGUGAUUACUACAUCACACAUCAUUGUCAGCUCCCUGCUGUAAUUGGGACAUGUUCUUUGUUCUUUCCCUCUGCCUCGGAUAGCAGCAUCCUUCUUGUUGACUGCGGCCCUAAUGAGAACCUAACCCAGAACAACUUCACAUAGCCACCUGCAUUCUGUGCUCCGUGUUGUGAACUCCAAUUAACAAGGCUUUUAGUCAGUAGUUCAUUUGGAAGCCGCUGCCAAGCCUCUAAUUUCCCCUGCUCUCUGCACCAAUAUCAGGUGAGUGCUUUGUCAUGGGUCAUUUGCCUUUAAACCUCGCAACCCUUCC
rnacentral:lncRNA from 1 species